rnacentral:rRNA from 1 species
GCAGUCGAACGAUGAAGCCUUCGGGUGGAUUAGUGGCGAACGGGUGAGUAACACGUGGGCAAUCUGCCCUUCACUCUGGGACAAGCCCUGGAAACGGGGUCUAAUACCGGAUAACACUUACCUCCUCCUGGGGGUUGGUUAAAAGCUCCGGCGGUGAAGGAUGAGCCCGCGGCCUAUCAGCUUGUUGGUGGGGUAAUGGCCUACCAAGGCGACGACGGGUAGCCGGCCUGAGAGGGCGACCGGCCACACUGGGACUGAGACACGGCCCAGACUCCUACGGGAGGCAGCAGUGGGGAAUAUUGCACAAUGGGCGAAAGCCUGAUGCAGCGACGCCGCGUGAGGGAUGACGGCCUUCGGGUUGUAAACCUCUUUCAGCAGGGAAGAAGCGCAAGUGACGGUACCUGCAGAAGAAGCACCGGCUAACUACGUGCCAGCAGCCGCGGUAAUACGUAGGGUGCGAGCGUUGUCCGGAAUUAUUGGGCGUAAAGAGCUCGUAGGCGGUCUGUCACGUCGGAUGUGAAAGCCCGGGGCUUAACCCCGGGUCUGCAUUCGAUACGGGCAGACUAGAGUGUGGUAGGGGAGAUCGGAAUUCCUGGUGUAGCGGUGAAAUGCGCAGAUAUCAAGAGGAACACCGGUGGCGAAGGCGGAUCUCUGGGCCAUUACUGACGCUGAGGAGCGAAAGCGUGGGGAGCGA